GAAAAAGAAAAAGAAGAAAUGCGGAAACAAGAAGACAUUUUCUUCCAACAACGAAAACUUUGAGUCAAAAAGAAAGCGAUCGCAUUCUGAUUCAAAAUCAAGUUCUUCGUCUGAUGAAUGUAGUUCUUCAUCAUCAUAAGUGGACGCCUUGUUUUGGCGUGAUGGCAUACAGUGCUUGCUAGUGUCCUAUUUUUUUUCUUCAAAAAGUGAAUAUCGCUUUAUAUCUAAGAAACAAGAAUCAAAUAUUGAACCAAGAAUCGAAAUAACGACGUAUUAAACGUACCAAAUGGAUACAGGAUUACUUUUGAAUCAUAAACCGGAAGCUGCCACUACAAUUUACCAAAAUGUUGUAAUAAAAUGAAAAAGGAGUCACAGAUUUGUUGCCGUUUUCUUUCAGCCAAGCGAUCUAUCACACCUACAGCAUACGGUUGGUUGUUCACGUUGCAAUUGAGAUAUUCCUCGUCCAGCUUUCCACCGUAGAAAAGAUCUCCUUGUUGUAUACA